AGGAUGAACGCUGGCGGCGUGCUUAACACAUGCAAGUCGAACGGGGUUAAUGAGGACAAAAGUAUUCGUACCGAUGUAAUUAUUAACUUAGUGGCGGACGGGUGAGUAACACGUGAGUAAUCUACCUCAAGCAGGGGAAUAACAGCGGGAAACCGUUGCUAAUACCACAUAGAGUGUCGAAUAGGCAUCUAUACGACAUAAAAGGAGAGAUCCGGCCUGAGAUGAGCUCGCGUCCGAUUAGGUAGUUGGUGAGAUAAGAGCCCACCAAGCCUGCGAUCGGUAGCCGGACUGAGAGGUUGCUCGGCCACAUUGGGACUGAGACACGGCCCAGACUCCUACGGGAGGCAGCAGUGGGGAAUCUUGGGCAAUGGGGGGAACCCUGACCCAGCGACGCCGCGCGAAGGAUGAAGGCCUUCGGGUUGUAAACUUUUUUGGAUGGGGACGAAGCAGUGACGGUACCCAUCGAACGGGCGGGGGGCUAACUACGUGCCAGCAGCCGCGGUAAUACGUCGGUGGCGAGCGUUAUCCGGAAUUACUGGGUGUAAAGGGCGUGUAGGCGGAUAGAUAAGUCGGAUGUGAAAUCCUGCGGCUCAACUGCAGAUUGUCAUAUGAAACUG
rnacentral:rRNA from 1 species